UACGGAGGGUGCAAGCAUUAAUCGGAAUUAUUGGGCGUAAAGGGCGCGUAGGCUGAAGAUCAAGUCAGAUGUGAAAUUCCAAAGCUCAACUUUGGAGCUGCAUUUGAAACUGGUUUUCUAGAGGAUUGACGGAGAAAACGGAAUUCCACGUGUAGCGGUGAAAUGCGUAGAUAUGUGGAAGAACACCUGUGGCGAAAGCGGUUUUCUAGUUUAUACCUGACGCUGAGGCGCGAGAGCAAGGGGAGCAAACAGG
rnacentral:rRNA from 1 species